UUUUCCUCUAUCCCCACAGCAGAACCAAUGCUAAGGCCAUAAUUUUAAUCAGAGUUUAAUGAAAGGGUAAGGAUCAUGAAUGAGAAUUACAGAACAGAGAGGAAAGUAAAACUUCUGGCCAAGCUUGGGGCUUCUCAUCAAUUUCAUCCAAUAUUUUCCUAACAACUGUUUCAGGGCUCUUGUGCACUUAGAAUUUGAAUACAUUUAUUCUAUUGCCCAGAAAUAGAAGCUUCUCUUCUUCAUAUAAUAUCCCUUUGAUGAGAUUUAUUCCUUAUUCCAGUAUUAAUCUUCCUAGGUUGACUGACACUGAGAACAUUAAUUCUUCUCAGUGGGGUGGUGGCCUCCAAUGGGAGAAAUCAACAAUUCUCUUUCUCCUAUGUGUGUAUGCCUUUGCACCUAUGGUGAAGGGGAGCCUGUUUCUCCACCCUUCCAUCACAAAUCUGAGCGGGCCUGUGACUUGCCUUGAUUAAUACAAUGUGGCAGAAGUAAGGCUCUGUCAGUUCCUGGGCUAGUUAUCAAGAAAGAGACCUUGAAACUUCUGAUUUCUUUAAAACCAGCACUGUAUAGGAUGUCUGAUUACCGUGAGAGCAUGAGCUGUGCUGAAUCUCCAGCUAGCCACAAUGAAAAGCCUUUUGGAGAGAGAAUGUCCAGUCAACCUCCCAGCUGUUCCAGCCUUUCCAACAGAGGUAUCAAACAGGUGAUAUGAGUCUGACAUAUGCACUGAAACAUCAACAGGUCUUGCUAUGUCAACUAUGCAGGAGUGCAGUGGCA
rnacentral:lncRNA from 1 species